CCUACGGGGGGCAGCAGUGGGGAAUAUUGCACAAUGGAGGGAAGCCUGAUGCAGCGACGCCGCGUGAGGGAAGAAGUAAUUCGGUAUGGAAAGCUCUAUCAGCAGGGAAGAAAGUGUCGGUACCUGAAAAAGAAGCCCCGGCCAAAUACGUGCCAGUAGCCGCGGUAAGACGUAAGGAGCAAGCGUUAUCCGGAUUUACUGGGUGUAAAGGGAGUGUAGGUGGCAAAGCAAGUCCGAAGUGAAAACCCAAAGUUGAAUUAUGGGAAUGCUUUAGAAACUGCUCAGCUAGAGUGCAGGAGAGGCAAGUGGAAUUCGUAGUGUAGCGGUGAAAUGCGUAGAUAUUAGGAGGAACACCAGUGGCGAAGGCGGCUUGCUGGACUGUAACUGACACUGAGGCUCGAAAGCGUGGGGAGCAAACAGGAUUAGAUACCCCAGUAGUC
rnacentral:rRNA from 1 species